UGUUUAUAUUUUUUUUAUAAAAAAUUUAUAAAAAAAGUAUUUUAUUGGGGUGAUAAAAAAAUUUAAAAAACUUUUAUAAUUGUAAUCAUUAAUUAAUGAAUUAUAUACAUUUAUGAUCUAUAAAUUGUAAAUUAAGAUAAAGA
rnacentral:rRNA from 1 species